CGCCAGACUCCUACGGGAGGCAGCAGCGGGGAAUAUUGGGCAAUGGGCGCAAGCCUGACCCAGCAACGCCGCGUGAAGGAAGAAGGCCCUCGGGUUGUAAACUUCUUUUAUCAGGGACGAAACAAAUGACGGUACCUGAUGAAUAAGCCACGGCUAACUAUGUGCCAGCAGCCGCGGUAAUACGUAGGUGGCAAGCGUUAUCCGGAUUUACUGGGUGUAAAGGGCGUGUAGGCGGGUCUGCAAGUCAGAUGUGAAAUUCCAGGGCUCAACCCUGGAACUGCAUUUGAAACUGUAGAUCUUGAGUGAUGGAGAGGCAAGUGGAAUUCCUGAUGUAGCGGUGAAAUGCGUAGAUAUCAGGAGGAACACCAGUGGCGAAGGCGGCUUGCUGGACGAUGACUGACGUUGAGGCUCGAAAGCGUGGGGAGCAAACAGGAUUAGAUACCCGAGUA
rnacentral:rRNA from 1 species